CCUACGGGAGGCAGCAGUGAGGAAUAUUGGUCAAUGGGCUUACGCCUGAACCAGCCAAGUCGCGUGAGGGAAGACUGCCCUAUGGGUUGUAAACCUCUUUUGUCAGGGAGCAACGCCGGCUACGUGUAGCCGGACUGAGAGUACCUGAAGAAAAAGCAUCGGCUAACUCCGUGCCAGCAGCCGCGGUAAUACGUAGGGGGCAAGCGUUAUCCGGAUUUACUGGGUGUAAAGGGAGCGUAGACGGCAGCACAAGUCUGGAGUGAAAUCCCGGGGCUUAACCCCGGAACUGCUUUGGAAACUGGCGAACUAGAGUGCGGGAGGGGUAAGCGGAAUUCCUAGGGUAGCGGUGAAAUGCGUAGAUAUUAGGAGGAACACCGGUGGCGAAGGCGGCUUACUGGACCGUAACUGACGUUGAGGCUCGGAAGCGUGGGGAGCAAACAGGAUUAGAUACCCUUGUAGUC
rnacentral:rRNA from 1 species